rnacentral:rRNA from 1 species
GACGUAGGGCGCGAGCGUUGUCCGGAUUUAUUGGGCGUAAAGAGCUCGUAGGUGGUUUGUCGCGUUGUUCGUGAAAACUCACAGCUUAACUGUGGGCGUGCGGGCGAUACGGGCAGACUUGAGUACUGCAGGGGAGACUGGAAUUCCUGGUGUAGCGGUGGAAUGCGCAGAUAUCAGGAGGAACACCGGUGGCGAAGGCGGGUCUCUGGGCAGUAACUGACGCUGAGGAGCGAAAGCGUGGGGAGCGAACAGG